GCUCUAUAAGUAGAAGACGACCUGAUUCUGGGUCAGGGUUUCGUACGUAGCAGAGCAGCUACCUCACUGCAAUCUAUUGAAAGUCAUCCCUUGAGCCAAGCUUUUGAAAAAAUAAAAAAACAGAAAA